UACAGAGGUCCCAAGCGUUGUUCGGAUUCACUGGGCGUAAAGGGUGCGUAGGCGGUCAUUUAAGUCUGACGUGAAAUCUCCGGGCCUAACCCGGAAACUGCGUUGGAAACUAUCUGACUAGAGGAAUGGAGGGGAGACUGGAAUACUUGGUGUAGCAGUGAAAUGCGUAGAUAUCAAGUGGAACACCAGUGGCGAAGGCGAGUCUCUGGACAUUUCCUGACGCUGAGGCACGAAAGCCAGGGGAGCAAGCGGG
rnacentral:rRNA from 1 species